AACGAACGCUGGCGGCGUGCUUAACACAUGCAAGUCGAACGCGAAAGUUUUCCUUCGGGAGAGCGAGUAGAGUGGCGCACGGGUGAGUAACGCGUAGAUAAUCUACCCCUGUAUCUGGGAUAACCAUUCGAAAGGAUGGCUAAUACCGGAUAGUUUCUAUAUAACGCGAGUUAAUUAGAAUAAAGGUGACCUCUCAGAGAAGUUGCCGUAUAGGGAUGAGUCUGCGUACCAUUAGCUAGUAGGUGGGGUAACGGCCCACCUAGGCAACGAUGGUUAGCGGGUCUGAGAGGAUGAUCCGUCACACUGGAACUGGAACACGGACCAGACCCCUACGGGAGGCAGCAGUGAGGAAUAUUGCGUAAUGGGGGAAACCCUGACGCAGCGACGCCGCGUGGGUGAAGAAGGCCUUCGGGUUGUAAAGCCCUGUCAGGUGGGAAGAAGUGCAUGUAGGUUAAUAACCUAUGUGUUUGACGGUACCACCAGAGGAAGCACCGGCUAAAUCCGUGCCAGCAGCCGCGGUAAUACGGAUGGUGCGAGCGUUGUUCGGAAUUACUGGGCGUAAAGGGCGCGUAGGCGGCGUGAUAAGUCAGAUGUGAAAGCCCACGGCUCAACCGUGGAAGUGCAUCUGAAACUGUCAUGCUUGAGUAUCGGAGAGGAAAGUGGAAUUCCCGGUGUAGAGGUGAAAUUCGUAGAUAUCGGGAGGAAUACCGGUGGCGAAGGCGACUUUCUGGACGAAUACUGACGCUGAGGCGCGAAAGCGUGGGGAGCAAACAGGAUUAGAUACCCUGGUAGUCCACAGCUGUAAACGAUGAGAACUAGGUAUAGGGGGUGUUGACCCCUUCUGUGCCGUAGCUAACGCAUUAAGUUCUCCGCCUGGGGAGUACGGUCGCAAGAUUAAAACUCAAAGGAAUUGACGG
rnacentral:rRNA from 1 species